AGCAUUUUACUUCCGCUCGGUCUAUGAGGACUGAUGAAAUGUAGGAAAUCUGUUUCUGGCAGGGAGAAAAAAUCAUUUUCCCAAACAGCACUAAAAGGAGCCAUCAGAGAAGUAUGAAGAGGGGUAGUGCGGCUGUAGCUGCUGCCGCUGCCGCCAGGCUGGUGGGGUGCGGGGAGCGGCUGCUGCAGGACCUGUGCCUGGAGGGGGCCGGCCCCGAGAAGCUGCAGGAGCCCAGCCCGGAGCCCAAGCGCCUCUGAGAGCCGCCAGCAGCCCAGCUCGGGACGCGGGGGUAUUACAAGUGGAUAAAUAAUGUGCACUGCUCUGAGCCCAAAGGUACGCAGUGGACCUGGCCUCUCUGAUAUGCAUCAGUAUAGCCAAUGGCUAGCCAGCAGACAUGAAGCUAAUUUGCUACCAAUGAAAGAAGAUCUGGCCUUGUGGUUAACCAAUCUAUUAGGGAAGGAGAUUACAGCAGAAACUUUUAUGGAGAAGUUGGACAAUGGUGCCUUGCUCUGUCAACUUGCAGAAACUAUGCAGGAGAAAUUCAAGGAGAGCAUGGAUGCUAACAAGCCCACAAAGAAUCUACCGUUGAAGAAGAUCCCAUGCAAAACCAGUGCACCCUCGGGCUCCUUUUUUGCCAGAGACAAUACAGCAAAUUUCUUAUCCUGGUGCCGAGAUUUAGGGGUGGAUGAAACGUGUCUAUUUGAAUCGGAAGGUUUGGUCCUCCACAAGCAACCCAGAGAAGUGUGUCUCUGUCUGCUAGAGCUUGGCCGGAUUGCAGCCAGGUACGGUGUGGAGCCUCCUGGUUUGAUAAAGCUGGAAAAAGAGAUUGAACAAGAAGAAACACUUUCUGCCCCUUCUCCUUCACCUUCUCCUUCAUCAAAGUCUUCUGGAAAAAAGAGUACAGGAAACUUACUGGAUGAUGCAGUGAAACGAAUUUCUGAAGAUCCUCCUUGCAAAUGCCCAAACAAGUUCUGUGUGGAGCGGCUCUCCCAAGGAAGAUACCGAGUGGGAGAAAAGAUCCUCUUCAUUAGGAGUUUCACUCUUUUUGUCGACAAUAAUAUGGCGCCCAAACACGUGGGGCCUCAGAGAAGACUCUGGAUCCGGAAGGAGUAUCCCAAAACCAGAGCUAAGGUACCAGCUGGAGCCCACUGAAGCCUCACCGAGUUUGGGCUUCUCCUCCUAUGGAACUGGAUACCAAAAUCAUGGUAUUUUGAAAACCAGAGGUAUGAAUCUCCCUCGUUUGACAUCCCACUGGGCCUGGACCUGUUUCACUGCUAAUGUUCUGCUGCCAAAACUAUACAAGCUGCCUGGACUAUUGCAGAAGAGAGACAGGAUCUUGCUCUGUUGCCCAGACUGGAAUGCAGUAGCACAAUCCUAACUCAUCGUAACCUUGAACUCCUGGGUUCAAGCGAUCCUCCUGCCUCAGCCUCCUCAGUAUAGGACUACAGGCGUGCCCAGAUGUCAGUAGCACCUAUCCCCGGCCAUCACAAUAAAACAUGUCUCUAGACUUUGCCAGAUGUCCCUGGGUUGUUUCAGAAGACAAAAUCAGACCCGUUGAGAAUCACUGCUACAGAGUUCAAAGUACCAACCUGGAGAAAAUGCCCUGGAUUUGGAAGCAAAGUAUUGAAUGUUGGAAGUCUGAAUAAAGGAAUCAUACACUGUAUGUGCACCUGAAUGUACUUUACAAGCAUCAGUAGAACACUUCUGAUUGAAGCUUGGUCUUAUGAAGAUAAAAAUUUUAUGUGGACCACAGAUUCUCUAAAAAUCAGGACAUGGGUGAAGCUGGAAACCAUCAUCCUCAACAAACUGACACAGGAACAGAAAAGCAAACACCGCAUGUUCUCACUCAUAAGUGGGAGUUGAACAAUGAGAACACAUGGACACAGGGAAGUGAACACCACACACUGGGGCCUGUCGGGGGUUGAGGGGCAAGUGGAAGGAGAGCAUUAGGACAAAUACCUAAUGCAUGUGGGGCUUAAAACCUAUAUGGGUUGAUAGGCACAGCAAACCACAAUGGCACAUGUAUACCUAUGUGAUAAAGCUGCAUGUUCAGCACAUGUAUCCCAGAACUUACAGUAAAAUAGAAAUAAAUAAAUAAAUAAAUAAAUAAAUGCUAGACUGGCUUAGCAUCCAGCCUACAUCUUUCUCCUGUGCUAGAUGCUUCCUGUCCUCAAACAUCAGACUCCCAAUUCUUCAGCUUUGGGACGGACUGGCUUCCUUGCUCCUCAGCUUGCAGACAGCCGACUGUGGGACCUUGUGAUCAUAAUACCACAGUCUGGAGGCUAUGAAGUCCAUGAUUAAGAAGCCAGCACGUUUGCUUUCUGGUUCCAAGAUGGCACACCUUUUUGCUGCUUCCUCCAGAGAGGAGGAACACUGUGUCCUCACAUGGUAGAAGAUGGAAGGAGCAGAUGCAGAUGAGCAUGGCAAUGUGAGAACAUGUCAGAGGCCCCAAGAGGAAAUGAGCUCAAGUCCCUGAAAUCCCUGUUACAAGAGUCUUUCCACUGGUUGGGAAUGCUAAUUGUAUUUUGACAACUCAAUGUUUCAGCAACUCAAAAUGUUACAGCUUCUGCAUUGGAAUAAAAACAGGAAACAAAACAGAAUUUGUACUCAUAUCAGAAGACAAUCAAAGAACAUACAGAUAAUAUACAUUCUAUUAUAGAGCCCCCAAGCUGUAUGAACUUUAGACCUCACAUAACCUGAAUCCAACCCUGCUUAUAAUGUCCAAGUUGUAAGGAAUCAAUACUUAUUAAAUGUUGACAAAUAAAGGGAAAUCAUUAGGCAGAAGAACAAGACCAACUAUGCAAGCAUAUUUCAAACCUCUGCUCACCACAUUAUAAUCUGCUAAUAUGCCAUUGGACAAAGCAUCUCACAUAGCCAUAUAUUGUGUCUCAAGAGUCAGAAGGCAUGUAUCUGAGUAUGCAGAGAAGGGACUGAAUGAAUAUGCCCAAAGAUGUGUAACACUCAUUGUCUCUGGGGAGAUGAAGAAGAAGUAUGGAAGAAGUAAGUAUGGAAGAAGUAAGAUGAAGAAGAAGUAUGGAAGAAGUAAGUUGUCUGUGUAACCUCAUUCUUCCUGGACACGGGACAAGAACUUGGGACCCGCUGAAUGAUGGGAGCAAAAGGAGCUGUAUCAUGUUCCUGGCCAGCUGGCUAAACUGCAGAUGGUGACAUGCUCCCAGACUGUGGGAGUGAAGAGUGGCAACCCUUCUGGCGGCCCAGACCUUAGCAUUUCCCAGGCAGAGCUGCUGUAAAACUGUAUCCCUCUCGCUCUUUGCUGGCACCAGACAACUGGCCCACACAAUUGGAAGCAACAGUGGGGCCAGGCCAGCCCAGGAGCUGUGGGCCAGAGUGGGGUGGUGGGACUGAAAAAGCUGUUAGACAAAUGGGCUGAAACAUGCCCCAACUCUUGCCAUGCUGCAAGUGUUGAGGAGAGAAGAGCCGUCACCCUGCUGGGAUCCCAGAACUCAGGGCUCCCCAAGCCAGGAAUGUGCCAUGCUGUAACACCCUCUUUGGGGCUCUGGGGUUCCUGGUGUCUCCAAGCUUUUGAGUGUCACUGCAUUCUCUUUGUCAAGAUGCUGGUGCCCGCAGCAGAAGCUGCUUAUUGUACGUGUGGUCCAGCCACAGCCUUGCACAGAGCUGGCACCUGUGCUGGUGCCUGAAGCUGCCCCCCUGCUACAGAAAUGAGAAUUCCUGGCUGAGCACAGUGGCCAGACCUGUGCUUGCUUGCUUACACACCUUUUGCCCCUCCGUGCCUGGCUUGCCCUUUAGCAGGCAUGGGAUCCGGGCCAGAAGCAUGAACCAAGUGCAGCCUGCUGGGCUGAGUGGGCUGAACAAGCCAGCCAGUGUGAGUAAAACUCAAGCAGAGGUGCCACCAGCUCUAGAGGUUUCCAGUUGGUGAAGCGACACUCUAAGGAUCCUGUGACACUCUGUCUCUUGAUGAUCUGAAAUUUCCAUCUCCAUGUAAUUAAAAAUAUAAAAAUACAUCCCAAUAACUUUAAUUUUGGCAGGUUAUGAAUGUGAAAUUAGGGCAUGGUGGCAUGCUCUUGUAAUCCUAGUAGCAUUUUGGAAGGCUGAGGCCACAAGUUCAAGGCUGCAGUGAGGGAUUAAUUAUGAGCUCCUAAAUGAUAAAAUUACUGUUGUUAACUGUUAGAGAUGUUGGUAAUUACUAGCUAUGUUGAAAGAAUGACUAAAAAUGCAUUAAGCAUGAAAUCAUUAUUAAGCUCAAAUGGGGCAUAUUUAAAAGAUGAAACAUAGACAUCAAAAUAAAGAAAAGAUGUAGUUGAUAUGUCUUAAAUUUGCUUUUAGUUUUGUAUGUUUUCCUUUUGAAAUGAUAAAAACAUAUCCAAUAAAUAAAGUUGAUAACUCUCCUUUGCUUUUGUCAUAUAUAAUGAUUUUUCCAGAUAAACAGUUUGAUUGUGCAACUACCAUAGAAUUCUAGGCAGUGAAUCAAUUUAUUCAGGUUUCAUUUUAAAAUGCUUUGUUAGUAUAAAACAGAUAGGUAAUAUAUACUUGUGUAUUUUUUCCUCCUUUGUGUCAAGAGCUGUAUAACUGACUAAUUGUGCUAAUUUAUUAGCUUUAGAACCCUGCAGAAAGAGAGUGCUUCAUAGAAUGAUUGCUUUAUGAAGCAUAAGGAGAAACGGAUGAACAUGUGAACAGUGAAAGAUCUUUUCCAUGGAACUGUGUUCAUCCUCUGAUUAAAAUGAAUUGUGUAAAGUUGUAUAUUGUAUUUCACCCUUAGCAUUUGGAAAUGUGCAUGUAAUUUUGGUUUUGGUGCUUCAUUACAAUAAUGCAUAGAAAGAAAAAAAGUAUUUAUAGAAUAUUGCAAAAGCAAAUUUGUAGGAUAAAAUAUGUCUGGCCAUGUGUAUUAGAUACUAGUUAACUCAUAUCAUUACUUCAUUGGUACUUCACUAAAUUAUGUCACAAAAGCAAAUACAAGAUUUUCCAGAGCAUGCUUUUGGAAAAAUCUGAAGUUUUAUUGAGGACUCAUUAAUUUUGCCUGUCCCAUAACUUACAAUUUAUUUCACAAGCAUUAUAAACUUCAGAUCAUUCAGAUAUUGCAUUUUAGUAUUGUAAAUUAUAAGAAUAGAUUUAGAAUGCAUACUUUUUGAGGAUAGGUUGCUUUCCUUAAUGAAAGUAUCAUAUUUUUAGUUUACAGUUAAAUUUAAAGAAUGGUUUAUUAUUUGAGCUACGAUUGCAAAAACUUUAGAUAAUACAUUUAAACUUGGCAUUAGAAAGAAAAAAAAACUUUCUAAAUAGAGAAACUUCAACUUUUCUAUUUUUCAACUAGAAAUUUAUACAGUUAGAAUGUUUUUAAAGAAAAGGUUUUAUCUGUAAGGGAAGUGCUUACUGCCAACAUAUUUCACCACAGCUUAAAUUCUCAAGAGGACAUGUCAUCCUUAUAAGCAAACCAUUCUGAUUACAUCAAUCACAUUAUAUUACCUUGGGUGACUGACUUGCAUGAGAAACCAGCAGUUAUGACUUGAAUUGCAAUAUGCAAGACAGUAAAAACCAUAUUUUACUUUAAAAGUAUAUUAAUGUAUUACUUUUCCUAAUAAAAUACAUUGAACAUUUUUAUCAGUAGCCAGGAAAUUAUAGAACUAGGCAGUUGUAUUCCUGAAGCACUUUCAGUGUUCAUGAUAAUUAAUUUGAGAAGUAGACUCUUAUCACACAGUAGCAUCUGUUGAACAUUCUUGUUUUUGGUAAAAUUAAUUUCUGACUGAUGCAUGAAAUAAAUGAUAAGGAACAUAAAUUCAGCUCUUUACUGUAUGACUCAUAUAACCUAUGACUUUUUGGGGGAAGUUUCACAUAAUGGGAAUACAUUAAGAAAUGUUUUAAAUAAAAACACAUAUAACUAACAUUUUCUCUUAGAUCUCAGGCUCUAUCUCCUACUGUUUCAAAGCUCUAUAAUUACAAAUAUUUUAAUAAGGUCAAUGUUAGUAUAUUAUAAAGUCAUGAAGUAGUCAUAUACUGAAAACUAAGUUCAUUGAAAAAUUUCCCAGAGGGAUUAGGUAGAACCUCAAAUAAGAUAAUGUUGUUUUCUCUAAGGUUCAUUUGCCUGAGAUUACUGGCAAUCAGGAUUCUAAUUUGGAACUAAAUUGUCAAUCCAAAUGUACUAACCUGAUAGACUGAGUCUCAUUACCACCCUCUGCAAUGUGGAAGCCUGUUAAAUGUGAAUUAUACAUUUCACAAUCAAAUGGUCCUUUAUUUAAUCUACCUUCAGAACUUGACUUAUUUUGAUAAUUUUACAAAUAUAU